GAGUUGCGAACGGGUGAGUAACGCGUAGGUAACCUGCCUCUUAGCGGGGGAUAACUAUUGGAAACGAUAGCUAAUACCGCAUAACAGUCGACAUCGCAUGAUGUUGACUUGAAAGGUGCAAUUGCAUCACUAAGAGAUGGACCUGCGUUGUAUUAGCUAGUUGGUGAGGUAACGGCUCACCAAGGCGACGAUACAUAGCCGGCCUGAGAGGGCGACCGGCCACAUUGGGACUGAGAUACGGCCCAGACUCC
rnacentral:rRNA from 1 species